rnacentral:rRNA from 1 species
UACGUAGGGUGCAAGCGUUGUCCGGAAUUAUUGGGCGUAAAGAGCUCGUAGGCGGUCUGUCGCGUCGGCUGUGAAAUCCCGAGGCUCAACCUCGGGUCUGCAGUCGAUACGGGCAAACUGGAGUGUUGCAGGGGAGACUGGAAUUCCUGGUGUAGCGGUGAAAUGCGCAGAUAUCAGGAGGAACACCGAUGGCGAAGGCAGUUCUCUGGGCCGUAACUGACGCUGAGGAGCGAAAGCGUGGGGAGCGAACAGG